AGAACUUGCUGAGCAAGUUGUGUGUGGGGACGGAUGUUGCUCACUUAGGAUAAGAGGUGAGCAGGGCUCCUGGUGUUCCCUUUCCUGGCCUGAAGGGAGAAGUGUUCUGGUGAGUCUCCCCCAUGGGAGGGACUGUGCACAGCAUCCCUACUCACACCAGUCACAUGAUUCUUAUUCUACCUACCAUAGAUUUUUAGUUUGUACCUCAGAGAAAAUCCUCUAAUUGUACUUUAUGUUCCUGAAAAUAUUACUUUUAGGUAAUGUCAAAUACAUUCUCCCUAAAUCCUCUACUUGUAGGGAACAGUAAUAACCCAUAAUUUAGAUUGCAAGACGAGAGAGAGAGAAAAAAUGCAAUUAAUGCAAUUACAUUGAAGUCGAGGCAAUCAAAGAGUCCAUAAUUGGAUUUUGGCACCUGUGAAUGAGAAACAGUUAAUGGAGACACUUCCAGCAAUAAUAAUAAAUUAAAACAUUAGACCCUGAGUUCCUUGAGGGGUAGGUCUCUGUGUGUCCUGGCACAGAGCAUGAUUGUCUAUCUCUACAGAUAGUCAAGCAAAUCCUGUUUACAGGAUAAAUGAACUUGCACGCCAUCCUCAGUCACUGAUCCUGUCUAAUGCCAGCACGUGUGAUCUCCAAUAGUCCUCAGUGAUAAUCACUCUGCCCGUUGUGCCAUCUGAGCCCCAGUCCUGCUCCACCUACCACGUGGGCCCAUGACUGUUUGCAAUUCUAGGUCACCCAUUCCCCAGCCCUAUCCCUGAGGCUGAGGUUCUCACUGUUGGCUGCCCCCAGGAAUAAGCACCUGGGUUGUUUAGAGAAAUACGGAGGCCUGGAUCACACUCCAGACCUGUAAAGUCUGAUUUGGGGGGAUGCAACACAGACAUGGGGACUUUUAAAGUUUACCUGUGAUCUGAAAGGGCAGCUGACAUGGAGAAGCGCUGCUGUGCUCUGAGGCCAGGACAGCACCUCACUGCCCCGUCUUAACAGAAAUCCCUUAUUUUUCUAAAAAGCAGAAUCUCUUAAAAUAGAGUGAAAGAGCGGCUUUCAGAGCCAAAGCAACUCUAGUAAUGAAGUUUGUGGCUUUGGCUCUCAUCAUGCUUUUUGUUCUUUCCCUGAGAAUUUCCUAUAACUGGAGCUCGCAGUGUGUGGACCCAAGCUAAUCUGAAGAAAGAGACAUCAGAGGUUACUCACUGGUGUGCACUGGGCUGUGAUGAGGAGGAAAGCGAGCAGAAGCACCACCUUCAUCUUUCCCUGCUCAACCUACAAGCAGAACAAGCAGCUACAACACGGCAACAACCCAAAGGCCCACUAACGUCGGGACCGUGACGCCAAAUGCGGUGCGUAUGUGCAAUACAGUGUCGUUCAUCCUUCCAGAGGAGGCGGAUUCUGACACACGCUGCAACAGGGGUGGCCUUGACCCCGUCACGCUGAGUGAAAAGAGCCAGUGCAGAGAGACAAGUGCUGGGGCAGCCACUCACUCUGCCUGCAGGGACCAGUCAGAAUCACAGCAGCAGAAAGCAGGCCGGGCCCGAGCUGGGGGCAGGGACCAGGGGCUGGUCCUUCCUGGGUGUAGAGCAUGGGUUCCGCAGGAUGAAGGGGCGAGGGUGUCUCUGGGUGCACAACAGCAUGAACAGGCCCAGUACCGGGGAACUGCGUGCUUAAGGGUGGUCGGUGGUCCAUACAGUAAAUUCCACACCAAUACAAAAGUUGGAACAAGAAAAGAAAGAAAAUUUACAUGAUUAUGUAUGUAAUAUGUGUAAAUGAUUUUAGAUUUAACUUCAUAAACACAACAUGCCCAGUAUUUAUAAAUGGCAAACAGAGGGCGUUUUGCUUGAAGAGCAAGACAUUGGAACAAUCCUGAGCUUCAGUUGAGAGUUAUGUUGAGAUUUGCUAUUUUCUGGAUUGUUGAGGUUUGCGGAAGGAGACGAGGCGAGAGCUUCAUACAUGGAAGUGCCUUGAUGUCCUCUUGUCCUAGAAAGCCACCCCUGGCUGGGGCUCCAUCCCCUGUAGCUGCCCUCCUUUUUCCUCUGUCUCUUCCCCCUCCCUGCCUCCUCCUCACAAACUGAAUGAGGCAGAUUUAAUGGGGAAGGCCAACCUCCCAGGCUGCUCUGAGAUGGGGCAUCAGAGAGGAUUCCUUGCCUUUGACAUUUUAAAAGGAGUGAAGCCAGCUUUGCUGUGGCCGCUCCGAAUGCUGGAGGCCGGGAAGAGAGCGCCUGGUUUGUCUCCUGAGAGGGAAAGAGGUGAUGGCUUGAGCAACACGGCUGUUUCACAUGCAGGAAGGGGACAAAAAUCUGGGCUCUGCGCAGGGCAGCAGUAUUUAACUCAGAGUCCAUGGAUUCCUGGAAGGCCAGCUUGGAAUUUCAUGCAAAAUGUACCUGUGGGAGCAGAAGAUCCAGGUUUUCACAGACUCUCAAAGGGGCACAUGACUCCACAGGAGGCUGGUCUCCAACUCCUGAGCUCAAGCAACCCAUGCACCUCCGCCAGCCAACCAGAGUGCUGGGACAGCAGGCGUGAGCCACAGCACUCAGCCUAAAGGAGGCAAUUGGCAGUGGCAGCUGAUAAGAUCUCAGACAACACUGGGGAGCAGUAGACCCAGGAGGAGGCGCUUGGGUCGGGGCCUUCGCAGCUGCAGUUCGGGAGACAGGUCACUAGCCAGGAGCUGAGUCACAUUCCGUACAGCUUCUCUCCUGACUACUGGGCUGUGAGCUGGGCAGCGUGCAGAGACAGAGGUGAAUACAACAAAGGCCCCGCUGUCAGGGAAGUCAGAGUCCACGUAAGAGAGGAAAUGAGGGACUGGACAUUGGCCACCCUGCCUCCUGCGUGUUCCUCACAGUCACCACUCAUCACACGUCUGGGAGAGAAAGCGUAACCCGCGUGUCCCCAGGCCGAGUGACCCUGAGCAAACCCGACAUGGCUGUCUGUCUCCAUCAGAAGGUGGAAUUUUCUAAGCAAGAAAUACUGAAAUAAGAGUGCUCUGACAAUCAGGCUCUGAGGAAACGCUCGGCACCACUAGGUCCUGGGUGUGUCCUGCCCCGUGUCACUGCAGCCCUGUCACAGGAGCACAUGCAGGUGCCCUGUGUCCAUGGCUCUGACCUUGUGGAGUCACCCAACACCAGGGUGACAUUCCGGGGGGUUGGGGGAACAGAUGGUUGUGUCUGUACCAAGCACACCUCUGUUGGGCGGCAAGGUCUCCAGUUUUGAGGAAUCGCAUCUGAGUCAAAGACCGAAUGCAACCUGGCCCCAGCUCUUUCCUUUUAUGGCUGGUUCCUGAACCAGAUUAGAAUGGAGACAUGGCCUUUUGGUCAUCUCAGACCGCGGAGAAUGCUAUUGUGCUUUUAGGCUGCUUUUAAUAAUGUUAUGCAAUUAUGACAAAAUCAUGCCUUUAAGCUACUAUAUAUAAAAGCUGUGCAAUAAAGCUGAGGUUGCCUUGUCCUACUGAGGAAAGGUUCUCCUGAUCCCGCUAUUUUUUGUGUUCCUUGUCCAUCCUGCGCCGGUCUCUGCCUGGGCUCCUAAUAACCUGGCUAGGCUGGUUCCUGGCAGACUUUCUUCUCCCUGUCAUUACUGCCUAGACAGGGCUGUCCAACCCUCUGCUGAGGGCUGCACGCAGCCCAGGGUGGCUGUGAAAGUGGCCAACACAAAAUCCUAAACUUUCCUCUGGCCCCAGAAUUCUCCCGCCGAAGCCCUGGGACCUCAUGUGACAGCAGUCGGUA